rnacentral:misc_RNA from 1 species
GGCAACACACCGUGCGAUGCCCCUAGCCAAAAGAGCGUGCCAUGUUCACCAAGUUCCUCUCACGCGUGAAGGCCUUGCCGCCGAGAUCGGGGGACUGGGCUAACAAGUUGGGACCUGUUGCUCUCAUGGGCUGCUCGGGCGGAGCACACAUGAGUUCGACGAAGCUUCUGAAUCAUUUCUACACGUCCCCGCGAGACUGCGACAUGUAUGCGGAGUUGACCUUCCAUGAGCCCGGCCCUGUGGAAUGUCCACCAGAGACAGUCAUUUUUUUCCCUGUGAUCCAGUGUGGUGAAAUGCUGGAUGACAAGGGUGAGCCUAGCGAGGCCAGCAAGGAUGACUGGUAUCUGGCGAUGACAGAGGCCACGACAGAGUUGCUGGAGAAGGGCUACGUCCCGGUGAGCGUCGGCGGUGAUGGCUCCGCGACGCUAGCUAUGGUUGAGGCGUACAAGCGGCUCUUCCAGUCAAGCGAGGUGGUGCUGAUUCACUGCUCUGCCAGACCAUCGCUGGAGAAGGCGGAACAGCCGAUUCGUGUAUUGCUGGAGAAGGGCCUGUUGAAGGGUGUUGUCGAGAUCGGUAAUCGCUGUGUCUCGUCCGGUGACCGCAAGAUCCGCAAGCAGCACAAGGUGAUGUACAUGGAUAUGCAAGCCAUAUAUGCAAAGGGUCUAUUUUGCAUUCGCGACAUCCGCAAUGACUAUCCAGUCUUUUUGAGCAUUGACGCUGAUGUAUUAGAUCCCGCUUUUGCACCGGCCGUGGAGUCGCCCGUGCCAGGAGGUCUCUCUACGCGCGACCUGUUGCACAUCAUGACCGGCAUUCGAGGGCCCAAGGUGGCUGGUAUCGACAUCCAUGGGUACCACCCUAGUCUGGAUAUGUGCCGUAGCGAUGGCGUUGGCCUGACCCAGAUGGCGUUGACGAAGGUGUUGAAGGAGUCGAUUGUCAAGGCGUACACCAUCUCCACACAGACUGCGGAGGAGGGUCUUGAGAGGGUGCGCCUGAUGCAGCGACAAGGCACGCUGUCUGACAACCCAUAUCCUGAUCACUGAUGUGCCGCGUUCCUGCUGUACGUGCCACCCUGUAAAUACUUUUGCGUUGUAGGCUCUUAUGAAUUUUUUGUGGUAUCCACAG